GAUGAACGCUGGCGGCGUGCCUAAUACAUGCAAGUCGAGCGAACGGACGAGAAGCUUGCGGCGCGGAUGUUAGCGGCGGACGGGUGAGUAACACGUGGAUAACCUACUUAUAAGACUGGGAUAACUUCGGGAAACCGGAGCUAAUAGCGUAUAAGAUUUUGAACCGUAUGGGUCAAAAGUGAAAUACGGUGGUGCGGUAUCUUAUAGAUGGAUCCGCGCUGCAUUAGCUAGUUGGUAAGGUAACGGCUUACCAAGGCAACGAUGCAUAGCCGACCUGAGAGGGUGAUCGGCCACACUGGAACUGAGACACGGUCCAGACUCCUACGGGAGGCAGCAGUAGGGAAUCUUCCGCAAUGGGCGAAAGCCUGACGGAGCAACGCCGCGUGAGUGAUGAAGGUCUUCGGAUCGUAAAACUCUGUUAUUAGGGAAGAACAUAUGUGUAAGUAACUGUGCACAUCUUGACGGUACCUAAUCAGAAAGCCACGGCUAACUACGUG
rnacentral:rRNA from 1 species